AGAGUUUGAUCCUGGCUCAGGACGAACGUUGGCGGUGCGCUUAAUGCAUGCAAGUCGAGGGAGAAGCAUUUGUUCCGUAAGGUUCAGAUGUGGAAACCGGCGAACGGGUGCGUAACACGUGAGAAACCUGCCCCCUUGACCGGGAUAGCCCGAGGAAACUCGGAUUAAUACCGGAUACUCUCUUUGGAUCGCAUGGUCCGCUGAGGAAACAGUCCGCUGCUAGGGGAUGGUCUCGCGGCCUAUCAGGUAGUUGGUGAGGUAACGGCUCACCAAGCCUAAGACGGGUAGCUGGUCUGAGAGGACGAUCAGCCACACUGGAACUGAGACACGGUCCAGACUCCUACGGGAGGCAGCAGCAGGGAAUAUUGCACAAUGGGCGAAAGCCUGAUGCAGCGACACCGCGUGCGGGAUGACGGCCUUAGGGUUGUAAACCGCUUUCAGGAGGGAAGAAAAUGACGGUACCUCCAGAAGAAGCUCCGGCCAACUACGUGCCAGCAGCCGCGGUAAUACGUAGGGAGCAAACGUUGUCCGGAUUUAUUGGGCGUAAAGGGCUCGUAGGCGGUUCAACAAGUCGAUCGUGAAAGCCCGGGGCUCAACCCCGGGAGGCCGGUCGAAACUGUUGUGACUAGAGUUCGGUAGAGGUGAGUGGAAUUCUCGGUGUAGCGGUGGAAUGCGCAGAUAUCGAGAGGAACACCAUUA
rnacentral:rRNA from 1 species